GGUUAAGCGACUAAGCGUACACGGUGGAUGCCCUGGCAGUCAGAGGCGAUGAAGGACGUGCUAAUCUGCGAUAAGCGUCGGUAAGGUGAUAUGAACCGUUAUAACCGGCGAUUUCCGAAUGGGGAAACCCAGUGUGUUUCGACACACUAUCAUUAACUGAAUCCAUAGGUUAAUGAGGCGAACCGGGGGAACUGAAACAUCUAAGUACCCCGAGGAAAAGAAAUCAACCGAGAUUCCCCCAGUAGCGGCGAGCGAACGGGGAGCAGCCCAGAGCCUGAAUCAGUGUGUGUGUUAGUGGAAGCGUCUGGAAAGGCGCGCGAUACAGGGUGACAGCCCCGUACACAAAAAUGCACAUGCUGUGAGCUCGAUGAGUAGGGCGGGACACGUGGUAUCCUGUCUGAAUAUGGGGGGACCAUCCUCCAAGGCUAAAUACUCCUGACUGACCGAUAGUGAACCAGUACCGUGAGGGAAAGGCGAAAAGAACCCCGGCGAGGGGAGUGAAAAAGAACCUGAAACCGUGUACGUACAAGCAGUGGGAGCACGCUUAGGCGUGUGACUGCGUACCUUUUGUAUAAUGGGUCAGCGACUUAUAUUCUGUAGCAAGGUUAACCGAAUAGGGGAGCCGAAGGGAAACCGAGUCUUAACUGGGCGUUAAGUUGCAGGGUAUAGACCCGAAACCCGGUGAUCUAGCCAUGGGCAGGUUGAAGGUUGGGUAACACUAACUGGAGGACCGAACCGACUAAUGUUGAAAAAUUAGCGGAUGACUUGUGGCUGGGGGUGAAAGGCCAAUCAAACCGGGAGAUAGCUGGUUCUCCCCGAAAGCUAUUUAGGUAGCGCCUCGUGAAUUCAUCUCCGGGGGUAGAGCACUGUUUCGGCAAGGGGGUCAUCCCGACUUACCAACCCGAUGCAAACUGCGAAUACCGGAGAAUGUUAUCACGGGAGACACACGGCGGGUGCUAACGUCCGUCGUGAAGAGGGAAACAACCCAGACCGCCAGCUAAGGUCCCAAAGUCAUGGUUAAGUGGGAAACGAUGUGGGAAGGCCCAGACAGCCAGGAUGUUGGCUUAGAAGCAGCCAUCAUUUAAAGAAAGCGUAAUAGCUCACUGGUCGAGUCGGCCUGCGCGGAAGAUGUAACGGGGCUAAACCAUGCACCGAAGCUGCGGCAGCGACGCUUAUGCGUUGUUGGGUAGGGGAGCGUUCUGUAAGCCUGUGAAGGUGUGCUGUGAGGCAUGCUGGAGGUAUCAGAAGUGCGAAUGCUGACAUAAGUAACGAUAAAGCGGGUGAAAAGCCCGCUCGCCGGAAGACCAAGGGUUCCUGUCCAACGUUAAUCGGGGCAGGGUGAGUCGACCCCUAAGGCGAGGCCGAAAGGCGUAGUCGAUGGGAAACAGGUUAAUAUUCCUGUACUUGGUGUUACUGCGAAGGGGGGACGGAGAAGGCUAUGUUGGCCGGGCGACGGUUGUCCCGGUUUAAGCGUGUAGGCUGGUUUUCCAGGCAAAUCCGGAAAAUCAAGGCUGAGGCGUGAUGACGAGGCACUACGGUGCUGAAGCAACAAAUGCCCUGCUUCCAGGAAAAGCCUCUAAGCAUCAGGUAACAUCAAAUCGUACCCCAAACCGACACAGGUGGUCAGGUAGAGAAUACCAAGGCGCUUGAGAGAACUCGGGUGAAGGAACUAGGCAAAAUGGUGCCGUAACUUCGGGAGAAGGCACGCUGAUAUGUAGGUGAAGUCCCUCGCGGAUGGAGCUGAAAUCAGUCGAAGAUACCAGCUGGCUGCAACUGUUUAUUAAAAACACAGCACUGUGCAAACACGAAAGUGGACGUAUACGGUGUGACGCCUGCCCGGUGCCGGAAGGUUAAUUGAUGGGGUCAGCGCAAGCGAAGCUCUUGAUCGAAGCCCCGGUAAACGGCGGCCGUAACUAUAACGGUCCUAAGGUAGCGAAAUUCCUUGUCGGGUAAGUUCCGACCUGCACGAAUGGCGUAAUGAUGGCCAGGCUGUCUCCACCCGAGACUCAGUGAAAUUGAACUCGCUGUGAAGAUGCAGUGUACCCGCGGCAAGACGGAAAGACCCCGUGAACCUUUACUAUAGCUUGACACUGAACAUUGAGCCUUGAUGUGUAGGAUAGGUGGGAGGCUUUGAAGUGUGGACGCCAGUCUGCAUGGAGCCGACCUUGAAAUACCACCCUUUAAUGUUUGAUGUUCUAACGUUGACCCGUGAUCCGGGUUGCGGACAGUGUCUGGUGGGUAGUUUGACUGGGGCGGUCUCCUCCUAAAGAGUAACGGAGGAGCACGAAGGUUGGCUAAUCCUGGUCGGACAUCAGGAGGUUAGUGCAAUGGCAUAAGCCAGCUUGACUGCGAGCGUGACGGCGCGAGCAGGUGCGAAAGCAGGUCAUAGUGAUCCGGUGGUUCUGAAUGGAAGGGCCAUCGCUCAACGGAUAAAAGGUACUCCGGGGAUAACAGGCUGAUACCGCCCAAGAGUUCAUAUCGACGGCGGUGUUUGGCACCUCGAUGUCGGCUCAUCACAUCCUGGGGCUGAAGUAGGUCCCAAGGGUAUGGCUGUUCGCCAUUUAAAGUGGUACGCGAGCUGGGUUUAGAACGUCGUGAGACAGUUCGGUCCCUAUCUGCCGUGGGCGCUGGAGAA
rnacentral:rRNA from 1 species